CUGAUAUGUUGCUGUGCAGCCUACGUCUUCUCAGGAAAUACACCGCUAAGCUAAGUAGAGAAGCACGUCGACGGAUCAGAGCCCAGUGCUGUCUGACCAACGGGAGGAACGUCAACGUCUCUCAGCUGAUGACCACUCGAACCACAGUUGAAACACAUUGACUUGGGUCUACGAUGAACAGAUCAGUGAUGGACUCAUUAUACAGAUACGUUGGAACAUCCCAUCCAUCUGUCAGCUGGGGGUUUUCAUUUAACAGAGGCUGUCCAAGUCUGUCAACACUAAAGCGCUGGAAGAAGACUUCUGCGGAUCUUCAUCCAUAGCAAAGGCUGAAUUCUUCAUAUAGAACAGAACAUGUUUUAACAUAGGUUCAUAACUCUAUUGAUAUUAAUGACAAAAAAACACAUUCUU